CACGUAGGGUGCGAGCGUUGUCCGGAAUUAUUGGGCGUAAAGAGCUCGUAGGCGGUGUGUCGCGUCGGCCGUGAAAACCUGCAGCUUAACUGUGGGCGUGCGGUCGAUACGGGGCAUCACUGGAGUUCGGCAGGGGAGACUGGAAUUCCUGGUGUAGCGGUGAAAUGCGCAGAUAUCAGGAGGAACACCGGUGGCGAAGGCGGGUCUCUGGGCCGAUACUGACGCUGAGGAGCGAAAGCGUGGGGAGCGAACAGG
rnacentral:rRNA from 1 species